GCUAUGACAAGAGCACCUGUUGUUAGGUUUGGAACUGCAAAAAGAGCUUCUGAGCUCAAAUUCUUUAUGGAAGAUCUUAACAAUUUCGAUACCUUGGCUCACGUUUUUAACAAAUCUAGCAGAUUUGGAGGACUCCAAAAAGUUCAGUGUGCUAUUGCUGGCAAGAAUCUAUACAUGAGAUUCAGCUGCAGCACAGGGAUGCAAUGGGGAUGAACAUGGUUUCUAAAGGUGUUCAGAACGUUUUGGAUUUUCUUCAAGCUGAUUUUCCCGACAUGGAUGUUAUCGGAAUAUCUGGGAACUUUUGUUCCGAUAAGAAACCAGCUGCUGUAAACUGGAUUGAAGGACGUGGUAAGUCGGUUGUCUGCGAGGCAAUUAUCAAGGAUGAAGUAGUGAGGAAUGUGUUGAAGACUACAGUUCCAGUUUUGGUAGAGC